GUGGAUACGAUACUCGAUUACUUGUUGCUUGCUACAAUUACCUGUGUUAGUUGCAGUCAUUCUUGUUGCUAAGAAUUUAGUGAUCAACUUUUUGGCGCUGUUGCCGGGGACUGAUUAGAAAUUGCUUUAAUAUUUCUGAUAGGACUUAGGCAUUAUUUCAGGCUUUUUUAUUUUUUAUUUUAUUUUUAUUUCAUGGCUCCUGAUGUGUCCCUCAGAGUAUAGGCGUAUAGUGGAAGAUCUGGAAAAAUUGCUCGAAGAAUCGGACAGGCGUGCACAACAUCAGUCAUAUUCAAAGCUGCAGGAUGCCGAGGAUAAAGAUGAG
rnacentral:lncRNA from 1 species